GCUGCAGUAGUAUGUGAUAGUUACAUAAGGUGGUUGGGUAGAGCAGCCUUCGACAGCUUUGCCAGUUCAACCCCCAGGGUCAGCAGUGAGAGAUGGACCUGCAGAGAGGCAGCUGUCUGUUCUCCUUUGCUGUCUAGGCUCAAGCCAAAACUAUCUUAAAGCACGUGGGACCUGCGGUGAAGUAAAUAGAUGGCAGCAAAGCAAGCUCCAACACAGAGCUUGGCAGGACGGCCGGGACUCAGCAGGGCUGUGCUGUGUCCUUCAAGAAGUCAGCUGCAUGGCUGUGGCAGGGACCUUCUGAGAGGAGAAGGGAUUUUGAUUCGUAGUGAAGUGGAUGAGUUUGUCUUCAUCACAGACGUUGUUUCAGGAGCAGUUGCAGUAUCAAGAAGGUGCCCAGCACAGCUCAGAACUGUUUCCAAUGGUGUCUCUAACUUCAUAGCUGCUGCACUGACCAAGUGGGAAUAUGAUGGCCCAAACAGAAACUUGCUAUGGCUGAUUCUGCUUCAUUGGCUGCAAGGAUUUGGCACCUGUUGAUUCUGUGCUUCAUUGUGAGGAGGUCAUGCUGCCAAAUCAACGGACUAAGAAAUUAAUUAAGCAACUCUGCACUGAGCCUGUGCAUUUUCCACACGCCCAAUUACUAGUGACCUAAAUCGAGGGCAAAAGCCUGGAGUCUGGAGCUCGUUUAGAGAAGUGAUCCUUCCAUAAAACUGCACAUCUCUAUCUUAUGUGGAACGUAUGUCCUAAAAUAAUGUCAGGUAGGGUAAAAGCUAUUAUGAAUCAAGCUGCAACAGUUCGGUGUGUUUCUUACUGUAAGCACGCUGGGAGAAGGCCUUUCAGGAAAAGGGGAUGUGUUUCUCUGUAGCUGCUGUGUUCCAAAGGCCUUUUAAUAAACAGUAAUACUCAGCUGAGCUCUGGGAACUUGUUGCUCCUAGUCUGGUAAACUAACACAAUGAAUAUACACUGUUGCUGCAGUCUCUGAGCUCCCUUACAAAAGAGAGGAAGUUGGGCUGGCAUAGCUUGAUUUAACUACUAACCUCUUGAGAAAAAUUACUUAAGUGACUUAAAUUCUGGGUUAAAAUAGCACAGGACUAUUAGCAUCUCUCUCUGAAGUCCUGCCCUGCUGUUGAGCAAGUAUAGCUACUGUGAGGGCUUCACAUAAGAAUCAUUACUGCUUUGUAUUUGGUUUAAUGGUGACCCAAUUUCAGGCUUGGUCACUCCUCCCUGCUGGUCGUUGAUUCAACCUUUGGUCGGAACCCAAAGCUUGCUCUUAAGACUCAGUAUUUAGUUGCUGAUGGUUCUAAGCCUGUCGCCGGUUGUAGAUGGCAGUCAUGAAACCUGUUUUACCCGUUAGAUUAGAUCUUUAUACUUGCUUGGUCUGCUUUGAUUGCUUCCACCAUUUUUGCUGCACUUUAAGCAUUUCUUGGCAUGGUGCUUGAUAAGUCUUUCAGUUCAAAUGGACUUAACAUUUCAAAAGCCUGAAAGUAACAUGGUUUCCUUCCAGUACUCUGAAGCUUUGGUUCAGCCUCAGUGAACAGCAUGGGUGUGCUGAUGUUUGGUCCAGUUGGCUUGACCUGCCUACAUGUUAAACAGCAUUGAAAAUCAAUUCAACGAUGCAACUUCCAUAUACACAAUAGGCUUAAAGGGAAGGAUGCAGUCAGCCCUUCCAUGACAGCCUAUAGCAGGGAACAGCACCCUGCUGGGACAUGGCUCACAAAAGCAGAAGCAGCAGAACUGUGCUGAUGGCCAGCAGCAUCGGGGGCAUGAAGUAGAAGGUCGGGGCCACGCUUCUUGGCCAGUUUCCACAUUCAGAUGAAUUAAAAAAGCUAUUCUGGUAAACAUAACUGAGUAAUUCUGUGCUGCCAUCAAACAAUAGAAUAGAUAUACAUCUAUUGUUUGUUUUUUUUUAAAGACUACUAGCUUCUAGGAGUUAAUGGCCUGAUAGUGACUUUGAAAUGGGAGCGUAGCAUUUCAUUUAAUCUUGCUUAUGGUUUAACUCUUGAGGUCAGCUAUGUACUGUUUAUAAUCAAGUGGACUUAGAGAUUUUGGCAUAAACUGUAGUAUCUUUCCUAUCUUACUGAUAACGUUGGUGCAUACAUAUCUCGUGCUUUGUGUCUCUGCAUAUCUCUGGCAAGUAGGCAGCCCUUGUGAAGUGCUUCCUGGGUGGCCCUACAGCAUUGUUCCUCAAUACCUGGCAUUAUGUUUGCACCCACCCACACUGGCUUGCUUGCUUCAUCUUCCUCUUGCUCUUCAGUCUUACCAUUUAUCCUCACAAGCUGUUGGUGAAGCCCCUUGACAAACAUCUUUCUGUCAAAGAAAACAGGUUUGUAUUUCUGGCUCUCAGGGAUGUGUACCCCUGAACUAGCAAACUUGCAAAAUAAUACUUGUUUUCCCUUCCGGGGCUUCUGAGUGCCUCCUGACUUCCACAGUCAGUUCAUUUUAACUCCAGACCUGGCUAUUAAAAAAAUCAUUUGAAUGCUGGAUGUGGCAUGGGGAAGGAAAACUCUUUUCAUUGUGAUGUGUCUGGAAGGACCGGCUGUCCUAAAGACUGUUGAUUGCUCUGUAAAAGUCAUUUACCUGUGUGCUGGGAUGAUGCUUGAUAUUCAUGGAGAAACUGCAGUAAAUGGGAUUUUGUAAAGAGUAUAUUAUUUGUACAUGUUUUGAAAAUCCAUAAAGCUUAAAAUAAAAUGAUCUUAGUAUUGCGAAUCUAAUUGAGCAUUAAACAGUCCCUUUAUAGUAGCAGUGUGUAGACUUUAAAUCUAUUGAAUAAAAGUUACUUUUUAUGGGUGAAACAUCUGGUACAGACUGGAGUACAGAAAUGACUUGGCCUAUUGAUUAGGUUCUUGAAUGAAGGUUUUGGAGACUGGCUUAUCUUCCUCCUGUGUUAUUGCUCUUUAAUUACAGACACCAUCCUGUGCUCAACCUCGGUGCUGGGAGAAGAGAGCUCUGCAUGUUUACCCAGCAUUACCGUACUCCAUCUUGGUAAUCCAAAUUAAAACUUUCACAAACAUCCAGCAAAUCAGGGUACCGAAUUGGAAUGAUUGUCUGAAAAUGCCACCCUGUUCUCAACAGCUUUUUUUCAAUUAAAUAUUUAGAAUUAUUUUCUUUAAUUCUUAGCUCUGAGGCUUACUGGGACUACAGCGUUCUUUCAGUAAAGAUAGCAGCUGGUUUUUGAUGAAGCUCUUCCGAACUACUUGCUCUUACACAGUGCUUAAGCUUCUUGCAGGAGCGUUUUGCUUGUAUUUUCCAUGAUAAGUAUAUGGAUUAUAAGAAUUGUUUGAGUUGGGAAUGACUCUUAAAGGCCACCUGGUCCAAUUGCCUGCAGUGAACAGGGACACCUACAGCUCCAUCAGGUUGCUCAGAGCCCUGCCCAGCCUGACCUUGAGUUUCUCCAGAGAUGGGGCACCCACCACCUCUCUGGGCAACCUGUGCCGCUGCCCCACUUAGUCUGCGCUGAGCUCCAUCUUGAUCUGCAUUGACAGUAUGGUUUCUGUUCAUAGUACAGUUGGAAACAAAUGGACUGGAGCAUUGGACACUGCAAUCUAUAGACAGUGUUGUCAUCUUUGUUACAGACUGGAACCUUCCUUCUGUGGCUGCAUGCAACCUAAAGGGCUGGAGGGUUUUUUUUUUAGUAGCUUCAUUUGGAGUACUGGAACAACACUGAGAGAAUCUGCAUAGUUCCAUUAAGGGGAAAUGUCAAACCUGCUGCAAGUCACAGUAGUGCAUUUAAACCAUGUGCCACAACGAUCCCAACAUCUGUCAGCGGGUUUGGUCUCCAGCGGCAAUACUGCUACACGAAGUGCAUCAGUGUGCUCAUCUAUGUGCAUGCUCCAUAAAGGCAGAGAUGGAGAUAGACUUGGCCCUGCUGACAUUCAUGAUGGCCAUAGAGGGUUCAGGGAGGAGGGGCUGAUACUGCAGUGGAGUGAGAGCCUUGAUGUUGGCCACGCUGCUUUUGAAUUUUGAUGCAAGACAGUGAUUCUAAAAAUGUUACUGCUUGCUUUGGGUUUCUGUUCCAUCCCCUGGAGCU
ensembl:lncRNA